CACAGCACAGCGGGAAGCUCUGCUCUGGGCCUCAGAGUGCUGCCAGACAGCAUUCUUAAAUUUGGGGUUGGUAGAAGAUGGGGUCUGCGCGUUCAUUCCAGAAGAAUUUCCGAGAGAGUCAAAAGGAUGUCAGGUCGCACACAGAGACUUCUCCUGGGCUUGAGAACUAGAGGUGGAAAUGAGUCUACGGAGAUGUGGCCUCCUCGUCUAGUCCUGCAGCAAACAGGAAGUAUUGAUUACCCUGUUACUGCUCUUGUUUCUGCGAGGCCACAUGGAAAGCAGAGGCACCGACUUUCAGCUGUAUUUGUUAAUAGACUGUGGCAGAAUUUAUGUCCAACGAAUCACCGGUGAGAGCCCAGGAGCGGCGAGAUCACCUCUGUCGAUUCACUCCUUCUCACCGCUGUAAAAAGUCUCGUGCCAGCGAAUGACCGGAGGGUUUUAAAGCACUCGUUAUCCAUAAGUCAUUGCACAGAGUGUCCCUAAAUGGGAUUAGACCAUCGUCCCAGCCUGCUGGCAAUGACUGCCUCUGCUCUGCCUACCUCGAUGCAAAUUCAAGCUCAUUUCCAUGGCUGAGGAGAGGUGGGUUUUCUUUGAGUUGCUUCCCGAGUU